UACGUAGGGGGCAAGCGUUAUCCGGAAUCACUGGGCGUAAAGGGUGCGUAGGCGGCUGAUCAAGCCAGGGGUGAAAGGCAAUAGCUUAACUAUUGUAAGCCUUUGGAACUGGUCAGCUUGAGUGCAGGAGAGGAAAGCGGAAUUCCUAGUGUAGCGGUGAAAUGCGUAGAUAUUAGGAGGAACACCCGUGGCGAAGGCGGCUUUCUGGACUGUAACUGACGCUGAGGCACGAAAGCGUGGGGAGCAAACA
rnacentral:rRNA from 2 species